rnacentral:rRNA from 1 species
AACGAACGCUGGCGGCAGGCUUAACACAUGCAAGUCGAACGCUCCGCAAGGAGAGUGGCAGACGGGUGAGUAACACGUGGGAACGUACCCUUUACUACGGAACAACUCCGGGAAACUGGAGCUAAUACCGUAUGUGCCCUUUGGGGAAAGAUUUAUCGGUAAAGGAUCGGCCCGCGUUGGAUUAGCUAGUUGGUGGGGUAAAGGCCUACCAAGGCGACGAUCCAUAGCUGGUCUGAGAGGAUGAUCAGCCACAUUGGGGCUGAGACACGGCCCAAACUCCUACGGGAGGCAGCAGUGGGGAAUAUUGGACAAUGGGCGCAAGCCUGAUCCAGCCAUGCCGCGUGUGUGAUGAAGGCCUUAGGGUUGUAAAGCACUUUCACCGGAGAAGAUAAUGACGGUAUCCGGAGAAGAAGCCCCGGCUAACUUCGUGCCAGCAGCCGCAGUAA